rnacentral:lncRNA from 10 species
UCCGCUCCGGGCGCUGCCGCCGGAAGGGCCAGCGACGGAGGGUCUCAGAUGGCGGGGCUUGAGGCCCACCCGGGCUCUCGGGUCGGCGAGUCCCGUUGGGGAGCCCUUGUGCCUGCUAGGAUAUUUAGCAGAUGCCAGGCGGCCAGAAACGUCCUCACUUUUCUCCCUCGGCCCUCUGGGGAACCGCCGUGAGCGUUUCCCACGGACACAAACUUAACAGGCCCAGAACGUCCAGGGAGGACGCGUUGUGAGCCUCAAAGAGCCCACUUACGUGACCGACAGCACCAGGCCGACGGGCACUCGCUGAACUGCUGGCCCGGAGCAGCACAGCUCUUAAGUGGGCAGUGGCAUCUUUUAUACAAAUAAAGGAAGGUGGCCCCACGUCCCUAAAACAACAGCUUGCUGAAGAGAGAUCGCAAAGCAUCCCCCACUCCAGCUCGGGUCUGACUCCAAAGCCCUUCUGCUUUAGAAAGUGUGACUAUUUCUGCUGUAGAAAACCGGUAUCUAGGCCAGGCGCGGUGGCUCACGCCUGUAAUCCCAGCACUUGGGAGGCCGAGGUCUAUUGAAAACAGCUGGGCACCGUGGCUCACACCUGGAAUCCCAGCUGAGGCAGGAGGCUCCCUUGAGCCCAGGAGUUGAAGGUUGCAGUAAGCUAUGAUUGUGUCACUGCACUCCAGCCUGGGAAACAGUGCAAGACCUUGCAUAUUAGAAAAAAGUUUCUGGGAAGUAUACCAAAAGUCUUAACUAAGAUUUGCUAAAUGAAUAUUAAUUAAAUAACCUAACGGCAAGUACAUGGGGAAGUUGGAGGAUCUAGAACCUGACUUCCUUCACACUAACUAUUCCUGCAUUUAGCAGGUAAAAGCCCGAUAGCAUGAUUGAGUGGAAACAUGAAGGGACAAGGGUUUGGCUAGUUAUGUUUAUAAAAAGUCAACAUAGGAAUUGAGUCAAGAUACCAGAAACUCUACUUAUAGUAAGAUCCCACUUUGCAAAAACGGAGAAUGGAAGCGUACAGAACUGUACCUUCUCCUCAAUUUUGCUGUGACUGUAAACUUCCUCUAACACAUAAAAUGUAUUUUA